GGGCCCGUAGCUUAGUCAGGUAGAGCAUCGGGCUUUUAACCCGAGGGUCAGGUCAAACCCCCAAACGGGUUCGAUUCCCGUCGGGCCCG
rnacentral:tRNA from 1 species